AUUGAACGCUGGCGGAAUGCUUUACACAUGCAAGUCGAACGGCAGCACGGACUUCGGUCUGGUGGCGAGUGGCGAACGGGUGAGUAAUACAUCGGAACGUGCCCAGUCGUGGGGGAUAACGUAGCGAAAGCUACGCUAAUACCGCAUACGAUCUACGGAUGAAAGCGGGGGAUCGCAAGACCUCGCGCGAUUGGAGCGGCCGAUGGCAGAUUAGGUAGUUGGUGGGGUAAAGGCGCACCAAGCCGACGAUCUGUAGCUGGUCUGAGAGGACGACCAGCCACACUGAGACUGAGACACGGCCCAGACUCCUACGGGAGGCAGCAGUGGGGAAUUUUGGACAAUGGGCGCAAGCCUGAUCCAGCCAUUCCGCGUGCAGGAUGAAGGCCCUCGGGUUGUAAACUGCUUUUGUACGGAACGAAAAGGCUCUGGUUAAUACCCGGGGCUCAUGACGGUACCGUAAGAAUAAGCACCGGCUAACUACGUGCCAGCCGCCGCGGUAAGAC
rnacentral:rRNA from 1 species